AUUAGCAAAACUCUCCCUGGCAUUACACUGGCCUGUACCAACAAGUGCUGUCCCAGGGCACGGCUUGAGAGUAGCUCAGGACAGGAACCUUUUUGUCCAAAACGGGAACAACUAUUUGAAUGUUUGCUGGGAACAGUAUUAGGGCCAUUUUAGCAGUUCAGAGCACAGACAGCCCUGUUUAAUGGCACAGGCCCAUGGCUGAACAUUGCCCAAUUUGCUGGUGUAAAUAUACUCAUAGGCUGUUGUUUAUGAUCACCUACACCACAAAAAUUGUAAAGGAGACUCCAUCUCUGUCACAGCCCCGGCAAAGAGCCCUUUGAUGGUGCUACAUGUUCAGCACAGCUUCUGUGAAAUCUUUUUCUGGCUCCAAAUCCAGCAUUAGCAGAACUGAUAGGAGUGUGUUACCAGGCUAUAAAAGCCUUUACAUUGGGCAGUUGGCGCUACAGGAAUGGGAGAGGCUUUCUCUGGUUGUCUAAUGCGGAGCAGUGGUGGUUGUAGCAGUAUUGAGUGUUGCAGUACUAUGAGUUCCUGACUGGUUUGAAACCACCAGUGACCUUAAUGUAGUGGGAACAUCUUCCUCAGCCUUCAUCCAGUCUCUGCUUUCCCCAGGGAGAUGACUUCGGUGAUACGGUCACAGUCUGUGAGAUGCUGAGCUACAAAACUUCAGAUCUGCCUCCUGCAGAUCACUUGGCAGCAAGCGGGCAGUAGCUUCUGCCCACUCUGAAAGUGGAUCUGAGCUCCUGCCUUGUAUAUUCUGUAUUUUAUUCUGUGCCCAGCAUCUGAAAGCCACCAGCAUCCCUAUGAGCCUUCCCUUGCCAGUGCUGCUUCAAACCAAGUGCAACAGCGGCUGUGCAGGCGUAAGAGCCAUCCCCAGAGGAUAUUGGUUCUUCCUUCGCUGUUGAGUGAAGGUAAAAUAUAAUCUCUGCUGCUGUGUUGAGAGGAGCACAGGAAGGAUUCUGCCUGUCUGGAUACUCUAAUUAAUCAGAUUUGGUUCAGUUCCCUCGUCUUGGCUCUGAGCUGCGCAUUAGUUCACGAUCAAGCGCUGCACCGAGGAAGGCUGAUGUUUUCCCUUCUCUCCUGCCAGGCAGGGGAAAGCAGCGCAAGAGGGUUUGGAAAGCCACUGCUGAGUGAUCUUGCUCUUAAUUGCACUCUGCAGGCUGGAUUCGUAAAAGCCGGAGGACACAUCAGGUUGUUCUUGUUUGUUUUUCUGCCGAGUUCAUUUAGAAACAGGGGCUCCCACCUUUGUACUGAAGAAACAUCAUUUGUUGCACUUGCUGUUGCAGCCGCUGAGAGUUGCAGGUACAGGGGAGGAAGGGAAUACUAGAAAACCAAACCCAGACACGGGGUGGCUUUUAUUCACACAGAGAGCAGAAAGGCUCAACAGCAGCAAGUAAGAAUGUGCCAGCCUGCAAUGCACUCAGACAAAAGGAUGUUAUUGAGUGUGAACACCCAGGUCCUGUUCAUCCUUGUGAAUAAAUCUGCCACUAUGAUCUUCCAACCAGCGUGUCCUGACACGGGUCUCAUACCUUGGGAGCAGGUCUGGCUCGGUUGCAGAACAGCAUCCAUGUUCAUUUUAACCUGGAGAAGAGCAGCAGGUGACACGCUGCGCCCUGGCGGUGCCUUUGUGGUUGCUCGGCUGGCUGCUCGGGCCUGCCCGCACCCCAAAGCCUUUCUCGUCCCUGCAGGUCCCUGUGCUGUCCCUUCUCUGCUCAUCCCCAAGCUGUGCCAACGAGCACCGAUGUGGCCGUGAUUCUGGAGAGCUGUUGACGGACAGUUUCUCAGCCGUUCAUUAUAGAAUAUGUUAUGUCAGCCCACUGCUCUCCACACUGUGAAAACAUAUAUUAUUCCUACAGGUUGCUUCCUGUGGCAGGACGCAAACCCCCGUCUCUCCCCCUCCCUCCUUCAUCAUGGAAGGAGUAGACACAUCUCUCUCUCUGCUACUUGCGGCUGACAGCUUAUUUUGUUUGGCCCCAGAGCCCCCUGGCCAGGGCCGUUAGGAGAAGGGAGUGCUGAGGCGCCAAGGGGCCGCUGUGCGCCCGCAGCCAUUGUGAGGGAUGCUUGGGGGCCUCAAUGGCGCCCUCAGCCAGUGUGGGGGUGCAGAGAAGCUUCUGGAAUGCCCGCAGUCAGAUCUGAUCAGCCAAUAAAACCUGGGACUCUCAUCGAGACUCCGCCCCUUGCCGCGAGUCUCCUGGAGCGUGCGCGAGGUGCUGCCGCCGAGACCCCCCCGGAUGGAGACUGCGCCUGCCUUCCCGCCACCUGCGGCAGAGAGAUGUCUGCUGCCUGGCUUGCUCCUGCUGCAGGACUGAUGGAGAGGCAAACUUGCCUGGGAGACACUGCUGUGAUUAAAAUGUUGGGCAGAUCCUUGAAGGAUGAAGCAGCAAUUUCUGGCUCACAGCUGCAGGAAAGGAACAACAAGCAGGAGAAAAAAACCUGAAACACUCAAGAUCUGGAAAAUCUGCUGGUAAAUACUAAUUAUUCCUCCUCCUUUUAUUUCUCUGCUUUUGAACUUCAGUCUUGGUCUUUUGUUAAUAAACUACGUGAGUAUCAGCCCAGAGCAGCAGUGUGAGCAGCACAAGGGAUGCAGGAGCCUCCCGAGCUCCGUCCCAGGGCUCGACACAAUCCAGCCGGUGACCUCCGCACAGACAUUUCACCUCUCUGCCCCAGCCUUGCCGAGCCCCGUGAUGGAUUUCAGCUCCUGGGAAAGCUGCAGGGAUGACAUGAUGGUUGCGAGGAGCCUCUAGGAUGCAAAAGCAAGUUGUUUCUUCACUGGAGUGGGGGGUGGCGGGGAAAUAAUAACCCUGAUCUGACCUCCUUUCCCAGCCCUUUUACAGAGUCGCCUCUGAGUUCAUGCCCUUGCGCAGCCUCCCACAUCCUCUAUCAUUUAAAAGGAGCAUUUUGAGUGCACACUUGCCCUGGGUGCUGAGCGGCGUUUCACCCUGUAACCUUUAAGCAAAGGCUCUGUCCUUCCACAGAACUCGGCUUGUUUGCUUGUAAAACCAGGGGGAAAAGAUUUGUGAAUGUGGGGAUGGAUUUCCAGCCCCUCGGGUGAUGUGGGGAAGCCUCUCCCUAUGGAGCCAGCACUUCCCUGUUAAUCAAUAUCCUUGCAAAGAUAAGGAUCUGUUAAUGACAGCAAUAAGCCACAGAAAAAGCCUGAGAGAGAGCAGUAAGUGAAUGUUUUAACUCUCUUUAUAGCAGAAAACUUUCUGGAGGCUAUUCAGACUUAAUUGCUGGGAAUUAGGGUGACUCUAGGCUUCAGACCCAAAAAACUAGAAUCUCUUAUAGGAUGGAAAUUCCGUGGGUAAACUCUCCUUUCUGUUAAUAACAGUGGUGGGGAGCGAAAAGACAGAAGAAUAUGGCCCUUCUGCUCCCAUUUCCAGAGAUCUUCUGGUCCCCCUCAAGUGGCAUUUGUGCCUUAUUUUAAUGAGCCCACAUUCCGCCAAAGUCAAAUGAGUUCUUGAACCGUUGACCUUAAUGGGAUUUUGUGUUGUCAGAAUAGUAGGCAAAGAUUAUUGCUUAUAUUAUACUGUGCACACAGACAAUAUGAAUAAAAUGAGGGCUGAUCCAACCUGCAGGAUUACAGCAUUGUUCUGCAAGUGCUCCUGGUAAUCAGAGCGUGGAACAAGCCAUAAAAAGGAGCACAGUGGUUACAGAUGAAACAGCAAUAGGUAAUUUUAUGACCACUAAUAACCUUUGAUGCUGUGCAAACUAAGACCGUGAUAAGGGUAACAAACCCUCAUGCUUCAGGACAUAGGAACACUUGCAGGGGAAGAGGAAUUCAUUUUGUUUUGCCCACUGAACAGCCAGCUAAGUGCUUUAUGGGUGCUUCUGCCCUUUCUCUGAAGCUUCAAGCCUUAUCUGCACUUUGGAGUGCAAUGGAACCCAAUAGAAAAUGUUUUGGUCAGACAUGGGAUUUUACUACCUGAUACAGUGAUUUUCAUUAUCUUAAAUCCCAUAAAAAUAAAUGGGAUGUCUGCUCCAUUAAGCUCAUUGGUUUUUUGGCCCCAAAGAGUAAUAGGGUUGAUGUAUCUGAAAAGGCAAGGGCAAAGUUCUCAGCCUAGGUGCAUGCUGUUAGAAUUAUAUGAAUGUGAACCAGAUUGGGACUCUCUGCCUUUGUUUCUAGUACAGCAGUAUCAGCUAUGAAUUUACUCACCAAAAUACAAGGGAAAUGGAGGUCCUGAAGGACUGAUUCAGUUUCAUGAAGUAUUUUCUUUGCUAAAGAUAGAGGCAGAAUGACAGAAUGAGCCCUGAACAUCACCUGAAAUAAGCUGUGCAAACAGGUUACUGCAUGUUAUUAACUCCCAGUGGGUACACCCUUCCUCUGGAAUAAAAGCAUCCAAAUUACCCACAGGAAAUUUAAAUGGAUUUAGCUCAUUCAGAACAGGGAUCUUAAUUUUAGAUGUGUUUUGCUCUAAGAUUCACUCCCAUAUUAAUCCAGUUUAACUUAAGCACUAAGUGUGAAAUGCAGACUUUAUGCUGGUAGCAGCACGAGGCUUUUACUGAGAUAUUGCUCUGAUAAAGGGAGCAGAAAGUCCACACAGGAGGGAAAACGACUUUAUAUAUGCCCUGGGUCAGACUCUUCCAGGCAUUUUCAUAUUGUCCUUGCAUAUGAUAACUUGCAACAGCAAAUGAAGUCUAAUGACAUUUCUAGGAGAACAAUAGUUUUAAUGGAGUAGCUUUGCCUUUCUUUCAUGAGCAGUGUAAUUAUAAGGCGGCAUUGUGCUAAAUGUUUUUGGGUGCUGAAAUAUAUAAUUGAUGAGUGUAAUAUAGGACAUGCCACCAAAACGAUUUCUAAUUAGGAUGAAGUGUAAGAAGUAAAUCUGAUUAGAAUGAAGGCCUCCAGCAGCUCGGGUGUUGCCUUCGGUUCAGUGCGGAGCUGCUCUGCUGGGUCCCUGCAGGGCUCCCAGACAACCUGGCUGAUGUCAGAUCCUCCCUUGCUGGGCACAAGGAGUGGCCACCCACCCAGGGCAGAUGUGCCCUUCUCUACAAGAGAAAAGAGCAGAGAUCUCUAGCAACAGGCUAUGGGGAAAAAAAAAAAAAAAAGAGAAAAGGAAAAAGAUCUGUGGGAGAAAGGAGUCAUUUGAGCUCAAUAAACGGUGGUUUAAUUAAAUGUAUCUCCCCGAGGGCCCCGUCUCCAGGCAGGUACGGGCUGAGCAGUCGGCGGCGCUGGCUGCGCUGCUGCGAGAUGAGCGGUGCAGGCACCGCGCUGUGUACGAGCUGUAAUUCUGUGAUUCCUGCGGCAGCGCAAGAUCCGAAUGAGCAUCACCAGUGAGAACUGCAGGGUCUGCUCAUCGGUGCCAUCAGGACGCUGCUCCAGGGCUUGGCGAGAGGCCCCAUGGGGAGCAGGGGACAAGGGACAGUGGGAAUGUCGCCUGGAGUGAACGCUGCCUUCAGGAAAAGAGAUGGAGGAGGUCCAUCCAAAAGAUUUGGAUGUUCUUCGAUGCUUUUUCAGUCUGUUUUAGAUGCAGAGUGUGGCAGACUGGCCAUCAAAGAAGUGGAAAACGGUGUAAAACCUUGGGGAGAUACCUUAAAAAUGCAGGAAGCAGUUAGCUGCUCACUCCCUGCUGCAAGUGCAAAGAUGCUAACCCUGCUGUGUGCAUCUCUGUAAAUCCACCUGCAGGAGGCAGCGGGAGGGGAAGGGGCUGAGAUCCCCUGCUCCAUGCACCCCUGUUCAGCUGCCUCUGCAGGGUCUGCAGCGUCCUGCAAACCUCGGGGCAGCAGCUCUGUAGGAGGGGGCAGGGUGCAAAGCAACAUUGGUUUUCCUGCUGGAAGAAUUGUCUUAUGUCAGGUUCUGCUAACGGUCUAACCAGCACUGGUAGUCCUGGAGAUGGGCAAACUUGAGAGUGACCAGUGGAAACCAGGAGCAGCUCCUCACUGGGUACGUGGGGAUGUGCCCUUAGAAAUAUGAUGCUCCGUUUUUCAGAGAAUGCAGUGUCGCCUUUGACUUUUGGGGGAUCUCAGCCUGUUUUCCAAGAGGAAUGACAUUCAUCAGCCACAUUUAUGGAGCUAAAACCACCUUUCUUUGAAUCGAAGGCAAGAGGCAGUUUUGUGCUCCCCAGACACACAUGCACCCCCACUCUUCUUCUCCCCUGCUCUUUUUGCCUGCUUUCCAAGUAAACUGCCUUUAUAGCAAGAUUCAUCCUGUUUAAAUAUUAAAUAGCAAAGCCAUAUAAAUUAAUGGUGCUGUUUUAAAACCCUCCGUUAAAGCCAGGCCUAUCAGCAAUGACAAAUUGUCUCAUUAUGGGACAUUAAUUUCUUGUAAUUUAUUUUAGUGAGUGAAGGUAAAUUUAUGGUUCCCUUUUCCCUGGGGCAGUUGAGACCCAGGGCCCAGGUCACAGAGAGGUCACCGAGCCCCAGAAGAACUGGACUGAACAUCUUGCCAGGCAGGGAGGGAAGGGAGGAGAGAAUUAAUGAGUGCAACCUGCAGCCGGUGCCAGAGCAGCAGCGAGCCCUGCGGUCCCCAGCUCCACAGUCCCCAGCUGUCCCCACGACGGCUUCCAUCUCAACUCUCAGCAGCCCUCGCAUCUCCCCCAACAUUAAAUUACGAUGCACGCACCAGUGUAAGACAACUGUGAGACCUCAGCCCUGGUGGAGGCACGUUCUUGGAGCACCCACCUGCACAGCAUCAUCCUGAACUCUCUGCAUGUUAAAAACAAGGGGUUUGGGGGCUUUCUCAACCCAUCUUGCUCAAACAUGCACAGCAAGGUGGGGUAAGGCAGAGGGACCCAGGUUACCUGUGGUCCUGACUGUUGUUCCCACACCUGCACCUGACAAUCUGAAAUGUCUUUUGGACUCAUCAGAGGAUGGGUGGGGAUUUUUCUCUCCCUUUGCUAACGGUGCACUUUUCGCAGCUAACGCAGCACAUUUUUGGCUAGAUAUAUAUAUAUACAUGUGAAGUAAAUAAAUUAUGCAUGAAGGGAUUAUUUUUUUUUCCUUAAAUCCAUUAUAAACGCAGUUAUUACAUUUGAAUCCUUGAUGAGCUAUGUACUGCACAAAACUAAUUUAAUGACUUCUUGAUUCCCAAAUCAGCGUGCAGAGGCUCCUCAGACCCAGGCUGGGCUUAACCCACUGAGAAAGCAAUAGGAUCGCAGCUGAUGUUUCUGAGGCACCUCCUGUUCCACAGGGCUAACGGAGUGGUUUAUAAUCCCGCACUGAUAUUUUCACACCUGGAUGCAUAGAUCCCGGCCCAGAGAUCCCAAGUGAGUGUGGUUCGUCAUGAGCUGCUCAGCAAAUGACUGGGUUUUUUUGGCUGGGAAAAGGAAGUUUUACUUACAGGUUGGAAAUGAGGUUGCAGCAGCCCCGGUGGGGGCUGUAAGUGGGUUACUGUGAUUGCGGGUCGGUCUGGCCCUUCCUCCUCCACACGUUGGAAAGUGGGUCUUCCCAUCCCAAAGGCGAGCUGGAGAAAGCAGGGCAGAGAGGCUGGCGUUCGGCAGGGGAGAUGUGUUCGUGAUGUUAGACGUUUGCAAAAGGAGAACACAAGGAGAAAUUAUAUGUUGUACUGGGGAAAAAUAUUUGCUUGGUGAAAACCUGCACAGGGCAGGGAACCCUCGAGCGCUGGUGCAAACGGGAUUUCUGCUUUUCAACAGAGAACUGGGGACGGCAAGAACUGCUCCCCCCUCUGGCUCCUCAUCUACAAAGACUUUCCCCUCCUCAAAUAACACUUCACUGGCCUAAAAGAUGCUGAGAUAUUUCCAGCACCGCUCUGAUAUUUGCACCCCCCUCCAAGGAAGGACGUUCCUGCUAUGGAGGGGAAUGCAGCAGGGGCUGGAGGGAGAUGUACCAUGCCCGAGCAGCCAUGCCUGGAAAUGAUUGCAUGGCAUACAGGCCUGUGAAAUCAUUUCCCUUGCAGUAAACUGUGAGCAUCGAGUCCUGAUCUGCCUUUUAAAAAAAAGAAAGAACACCGAAACGCCAGCAGCGUGCACACUCACCAGAGGGAAAACGCUUUUCACAUCAGUGCAUGGCUACCUGCUUCCACAAGAUGUAAUUUCCCCCGCAAUUGCCUUCUGCUCCAUUAGCGCUUGCUGAAGACACAGACCAUUGCUGCUCCUCAAAGCACAGCCUGGGCUUUCUGUUCCAACAGCCAGCUGCCCAAAUGAAAGCAAAAGCUUCACUGCGGGGUAAAUGACAAGGCUUGCGCUCUUCUCUGGAACAUGGACACAUGCCUAUCAAGUCACCGGGUGUUUGCUAAGGGAUGGUAAUUUGCCUGUUGUCUCCUGGAUAUAGGACCUGUAGCUUUGCUUAAUCCUUCUUUGGUGAAGUGAAAAGUUAUAUUACCUUGCACUUGCCUAUGUGCUGUGUCUGCACAACACAGCCAGCCUGGGGUGAAUUCUGCAGACAUGAGAGCUCAAAGGAAACCCCAGAUACAGGUCUGCAGAGGCUUUUAUUACACAUCUUGUUCCAAAAAGCAAGCAAGUAAACGAAUGUCAAAACAUGGCUGUUGUCUGAGGCUCAGAGGGUGGUGUAAGGGUCAUGCAAGGAUAAGGGGUGGCAGGGGUUUGCUCCAUCGUACUGGAAUGAUCCAAGGCUGUCACAGCCCACCCCUGGCACUGCCCCGUGUCCUGAGAACCUCAUGUCCGUCUGUCGAGCCCUCCAGGGAUGGUGACACCAGCACUGCCGUGGGCAGCCUGUUCCAGUGCCCCACAGCCCUUUCCUCUGCUCUCUGAUGGGGAUACCUACUCAGCUUCUAGUUCUGGGGAUCAAAGUGCUUCCUUACCUUGCAAUGUUCCCAAACCCUGUGUUCCUGUCACGUGUCACAUGCUGCAGAUCAGAGCUGGGGACUUUACCCAGCCUGAAAAAACUACUUUAGGUCUGUCAGGAGCACUUUGGAGACAGCACCAACCUGCAGGUUAGUCCCUGCCUGUGUCAGUGUGGAGGCGCUGGAGGGGAAUGAACAUCCCCUUACAGGGACAACUGUGAAGCAGCUGGGCUCCCGUGAUGAGCUUUUAUCUGCUCCGGGAAGGUUUUAUGUUUAACAGCAACACAGCUUCUGCAUGGCGUGAAUCUUCUCAGGAGGGCACGACCUUCGCUGCCCCCGCUCCUCCUGCAGAGCGUCCCCGCCACCAGCAUCAGCACCCUGCCACAGCGCCGUGAUUAAUUGUGCCGGUGCCCAGCUCUCGUCUGGGCUGACUGACAGGAGGGGAGCGUGACACUGAGCAAUGGCAGCACCUUUGGAGUCCAGGAGAAAUUAAAUCAAGUCUAAAUUAAAUCAAGCCUAAAUUCCUGAGGAGAAUCAAACCUGGGUUACCUAAAUGUUGGAGGAGCACCACAAAUACAGACAGAGUGAGUAAAGAGGAAAUAACACUUCUCAAGCCUGCAGCUUUGUUACACACCUUAUAAAUGAUUUAUUUUUAAUUAUGAAAAGAGCUACAAGCAGCAUAAAUGCAAACAGCUCACAUUUUAUGUUGCUUACAACCAAAUUUUAAUCUUUUCUUCAUUUAUUUUGCCGUGAUCUUCUAAUCAGUUCCUUUCCCACAUGGAAAGGAGACAGUUUCAGUCCGAGGUGAUGAUUUUGGGGUUAAAGGAAGGGUUUUGAAUGAUCAGAGUGAAGUCUCCAGCACAGGCUGCCUGGCUCUGAGGACACUGAAUCUGCUGAAAUAUAUAUAUAUAUUAAAAAAGUAUAUGUAUAUAUAAAAGAUUGGCAUUGCAACAGAGAGGUUUGUGGUGGAGAAGCAAUGCCUGGAGUUGCUGGUGGUCUGCAGAACAGCAGCUCGGGGCUGUGGGUGGCACAGCCUCUGCUCCCGGCUCCGGGGCAGCGCGGAGCAGCUGGGAGAUGUCAGAGCAGCAGCAAACGUCACCUCUCGUGUCCUAGAGAAACCGAGAUGGAUGUAAACACAGAGCAAGCUCCUGGGAGCAAAGGAAAGCUUGAAAACCUUCAACGAGACCCCUGAAGCCAACCCAGCACUGCUGUUUGUACAUCGUUCCGCGUGUAAAUCAGGACACUUGUGCUUCACACUCUCUUUUCCAGCUUUCUAUGAGAGAUUUCGGAAGCCUUGACCCUUCAGGGACAACCAUUCCUCCUGGGCGCUGCUACCUGCACGGCUGCCCGCAAUUACACACCACAUUAGCGGUGUUAUUGAGAUUACGUUCUGCCAGCUACACAAAUGAGCUGCUCUCCUUCCAGCAGCCAGAGCCGCAAAGGACUCUUCGGAGGGGGGGACUUGGGAAUUAAACCAAAAAACAAGAGCUCCCAGGUCCUGAUUACAGGCAAAUGGUAUCGAGCAGCGCAAAGAGGCAGCAACGCCGCUUGGACAGGGUUGGACAUGGAGGUGAGGUUCUCAGAACAUGGGGCAGUGCCACGGUGGGUUAGGGUUGGACUCGGUGAUCUUUUCCAACCAAAAUGAUUCCAUGAUUCUAAGUUGGUAUCUCCAUGAGAGGCAGCAGUGCCCAGCGGGGCAUGAGAACCCACCAUGUUAUUUAAAAUCUGUCUGUGACACAUGCUUCACUGCCCAGAAAUAGCCAGGAGAGCCUCAGACUGCUGCAUUUUGGUCCUCUCUCUGCUACUUGUCAGACAGAUUUUAUUUAGUAAGUCAUGGUGUUCCCGUGUCUCAGUUUCCCCAGCACAAUAGGGAUAGUGUUAGUGACUUACCGUGGCCAAUCAUCCAGAGUUAGGGAUGGAGAAGGCAGUUUCAGAGCUCUUUGCUCGCUGGCUCCAACAUACACCUUUCCUGGACACUUCCUGACCAGACAGCAAAAUGUGACUCGGGAUUUGCUCAGCACGCUGGGCUGUGGACACCACAGUACGGCCUUUUUACGUUCCUCCCAGCGCAAAAUGUCAGAGAGGGGACAGAUUAAAAAAAACACCUUUAAUCUAACUUCUCCCUCAAGCCGGAUGAGUGUGUCUGUACGUACACAGCCCACAUCAACAGAUUUCGGGUUAAUUUCCCGUUCCCUAAUGACUGACAAAUGGUGUACAAAGCACUGGAGAAUCAAUAUAGCUUGACCCAGGGACUUUAUAUCCUCAGGGGUCAACUCGUCUGUGACAGGUCUGAGACCCUGAGAGCGUGGAAACCCGGAGAUGUGCCAGAUGUUGCAGGCGCUCGGGGUAUUCCAAGACCUUGUAUAAAUUUAACCCGUGUCAUAUGUAUCUGUGCAGGGCUCAGGGGAAUCCCAGGGCUAAAAUUGCUGACGGGGAUAAUUAAUGUUAAUCCCAGUUAAACUGGCAAGUCUAGAGGCGACUCAGUGACCUGCUGGGACCAAUAUCAUUAUGUUUUCAUCUGAACUGGUGGGACGAGGCUGAGCAGGGGGAACCAAGAGACCUCCAGCUCUCAGGAGCUUUAUACACAUCAAGAUUUUGGUGUAGUGCUUGGGAAUACUUCAAAGUAAGACUGUAGGUUGAUUUGUGAGACUAGAAAUUAAGUUGGCAUCACAGACACGUAUCAUGCCAAGGAAAUUGCAGGGAAAAUGUAGACAUGGCACACAAUGUCCUUCUCGUUCUCAUCUCCUCCUGCAGGAAAUAGUGGAAUCUGGGAAGUUCCCCAGGUGGAAACCUUCUUGCAAUAAAGCGAUGGAGAGCUUUUGAGAGAAAUACACAGAGUUUCAGCAUUGUUUGUGAAUUUAGCUGAGGAUUUCGACGCUGAUCAUGAGGGUGGUUCAGAGGAGCAGGCUCAGGUCUCCAGAGUCUCUCCUGAUGCCCUUGGAAAUCUCAGCUUUGCUCUGGAAAUCUGGACCACACAGUGUGUUUCUAGCAAGAUUAAUUGUUGGCCUCAGACAUAUCAAAGCUAUUUCUCUUGUGAUAUUUUGCCUCUUCGCUUCUUGAUUUCUCAGAAAGCAGUUUCCAGAUUCUUGCCACGAAGCAGCUGCCUCCGCGGUUGAAUUUUGAAGACAAGGUCUUGACUUGGUGCAAUUUAUCCAUCCGCCUCACUUGUGCCUCUCAGAUUUCCUCCUCCUUAGCAGAGGGAACAUUGGACAUGAUGGAUGCCAAGCGCAGCUGUGUGUAUUUCAUUUUGGGUUAGUCCUAAGGCCAGCUCAGAUCUCUUGUUUCCUGCAAAACGAUUUGCUGUGCACGCUGCUGCGGUUGUAGAAGGACCAUGCAACACCUCUGUAAUUGCCAUAGCAACAUGGAGCAAAGCAGGUUGGUUCAGGUCUGCAGGAACAGGGAUGAAAAAUAGAGAAAUGAAGGUGAAAGCGAUUCUGCCCGAGCGAUGCCCCUACAGCAAAACAAGAGCUGCUUGCGUCCACCCAGCUGGGGUGAACAGUUUUCUCCUGAUUUUCCUCACCUCUCACGCGAAGAAAAUGGAAAAGCGAUGCAAACGCGAAUCUGGCGGAUGCUCGUCCUGAGCGUCACCCGCUCUGAUCUCCUUGACCCUGACUCGGGCAAGUGGCUCUGGGUGUCUUAAGUCCCAUUUCUUUCCUUUCCUACCUCAGACAUUUUGUCCUCUAAGCAUGCUGCUGCCAUAUAGAUAAUUAAAGCCGUACAGGUAUUUAAGGCUGAAUCUUCAGCUCAGGUAAAUCAAGUAAUCUAGAAAUCACCUUUUUUUGACAAUUCAAAUUUUACCCACACACCCACUUGUACAUCAGCUGCUGCUUCUGGAGUCGCUCGACUUCCGAGGAUAUUUUCUGGGUGAACCAAACAUGAUUUUCAACAUUUUUCAUUGAAAUUGUUUGAAUUUCUCAAAAGCAAAAUAAAAAAUAGCAGGAAGUCAAGCACCAUUCCUACUUAGAAGUUCUUUCAUUGAGGGGAAUAUAAAGCAGUUUGGGGAUGAUAUAAAGAUUAUUCAUUUCCAGUUGUUCUAGUUGCUCACCACAAUAAGAAUUCACUGUUUGGUGAGCGUUACUCGUGCUGUUCGAGCUCUCUGAGCAAGCCGGGUGCCACGUGUUUGCUUGGUAUUGAUUUGUGCAGAAGGUACUUGAACUGGAAAGUUCUUCUUGGAAGCUGAAGAUUUUGGGAUUUUUUACAUUGAGGGGGGAAAAAAAGGCCCUGAAUUGUGUUGAUGGAUGUAAUAGAGCAAGAGGAAUAUCAAAUACAGAGCUGAAUAAUCCGCAGUCCAUCUCUGGAAUUUUAGGGGAAUUUAACUAAGGUAUUGGCAUUAUGGGCUUUGUGAAAUUCAUAGCCACAAAAAGGCAAUUUAAUUUGUCGGCUCUGAAAAUGUUCAGGACCACUUCCAGUUAAAUUCCCUCCUAUUUCUGCCAAAACACUUCAUUUCAGGAGUGUGACAGGUCUGUAGAGGCUCUGUUAGAGAGACUCUUCAAAAACACAGAACACCCUUUAAACCCCGUGAGCACAGAGUCCGGCUCUGCGGCCUCCGGAGCGCUCGCCAUGGAGAACCAGGACGCUCCUCGCGCUGCUUGAGCCUUCAGCGGCACAGGAGACAGCCUGAGAUCAUCCUGCAGAAACACGGACCACAGCCUAAGAUCGUCCUGCAGAAACAUGGACCACCGCCCGAGAUCGUCCUGCAGAAACACGGACCACAGCACCUUACCAUCUGGCUGUAAUGACAGGUUGAGCUCCGGCACAGCUUUACCAAAGCUGCCCUGUCUGGAUUUAAGGAUUUCAGGGGAUGCAGAUACCACUAUAUCUCCUGGUAAUUGCUUCUGAUGCUUAAUUACCUUCCCCGUUGAGCCCUUGCUCUGCUGGAAGGGUUUGUCUCGGCUGGUUUGUGGGGUGCAGGUUGUUACGUGCUUAAGGAUGGGGUUCAGCCCCAGACUGGGAUACCCACAUUUAGGUGUCUGAACACGGGUGGCUACACAUGUUUAUGUGUCCAAGCUCAUGUUUUGGUCAGUGCAGAUGGAUUCUGUUUUGUUUGACUUUAAUUGCUUUUUGGCAAGGCCUCAGUGGGUGCAUUUUGGCUUUUUAAAAGCCACAUUUUACAAUCACAGCACCUUCUGCUCUUAUGAAUUCUCUGCAGUUCACAGGUCGCAGGUUGACUAAACCAGCCCCAGACAGGUUUAGGCACCAUUCCCAUGUUAAACCUUUUAUUUCGGCACACUUGGCAAAUGUUUCUCGCACAGUGGUUGAGAGACUGGUAAAUAUACAGUCAAAGUAUUGGCUGGUGAUGCUCAUGGCAGCCUAUGCUUUGAUGGCCUCUUGAAAGUGUUCCUGUGCUCUAACCCUCCCUCACCUUCUCUGGUGUAUGACCACGAAAUUUAAGCCAAAUUAUGGUGUGAUCUUUUGUCUGGAUUUCAAUUCCUGUAAUAAUUAGCCAUGAAUGAUUUUUUUUCUUUUUUUCAGGCUGUAAUGCAUUAUUAUCAGAUUAGUAUGCUAAUUUAUACUACAAAGAAAUUAAAGCAUUUGCCGUGGCAUUAAGUUAUUACUUUAGAUAUAAAUCCCUUGUGGCAAUACGGAGUAACUCUCCAUUUUAAUGCCAGGCUCAGGGUGUGCAAGCAACAAAUGAUCUCCCCAGCACAGAGUUUUUAGGGACAAAUUCAGUCAGUUUUCAUGGUGUCUGGACGAUGUUUUUAAUCAAUGUGGCAAACAGCAGGAUGCAUGUUUUAAUUGUUUCCAGUCAUCUGGGUUCAGUGGCAUCCUUUUGGGCCACAGACGUGAAUCCAGCCGAGCAAAGAGACCCAUUAGAUGCAGAGUCUGGGCGAGCAGGUCCUGUUGGACUGAGUUGAAAAAUACUGAUGGCAGAGACAUUUUCACCCAGGAAAGCACAAAAAAUGAAUAGUUCCAUCUUCUUCAUUUCCCUCCCAUAACAUACAGACAUUUUUUUAACGUUACUCAAACAUUUUGUCUCCCAAGAUAAAGACCAUUCCUAUUAAAAACUGAGACUUCAGAUUCUAGGCUGGAUCCUGGGAGAGACUGGGCCAGGUACAAGAUAAUAUUUCCACAAUGUGACAGCAGCAUCUUUAGAACUUUCUCUGCCUCGGGGAGUUUUUAAACCUGGGCUGUUGGGCUUUGGAUUAGUACUGAAAAAGAAGCUCAAAUGUCAGGAUUUCCAACAGGACAGAGAGUUUGGUUUUCAGCCAGUGCCGAUAAACGAGCUGGUUCAGAUCUCAGCUCCGACCAGGCUGGUGCUGCCAUCUGCUUUGGUGAAGAUCUGAGCCCAGAGCAGCCCCUGGGCUGUGGUGGUGCGUGAUGGACAAAACCACCUCAUCACCAUCCCAUGGACAGUCUUAUUUUUCUGAGCUUUUCAAGGAAGGAGCCAAAGGGUUUUUUAGGUCACAUACCCAGGUAGACCCCAAAAAUCACCCACCUGCCCAGCCCUCGUGCAAAACAACUGCAGUGUGAAUGAGUGUGUGAACAGGGUGUUGGUGGGAGGCAAAGGCUGCCCAGGUUGGGAUGUCACCCCUGUGCAAGCCCUUGGUGCUGCAGUCACAGUCACGAGCAUCCGCAUCUCAAAGAGCUUUACAAACACCAGCGGCUCCAUUAUCCCUUCAGCUACCACUGGUGUUCAUGGAGGCGCAGGCACACAGCUGACAAAAAACAUCAUGUGUCGCUUAAUUACGCUUCUCGCUGCCCUUGUGGAGGAGGUAGGAGAUAAUUGCUACUCUCGAUGGAAGGGUUUGAGCCAAAGUGGGGAAGCCUGACAUUGAAUGUUCUGCAUUUAAAUUCCUAAUUUUGCAUCAUUAAAGGUGGAGAGGAGAAUGAAUCUGUACGGACUGUCUCCAUCCCAGUGGGAGAUCUUGGUGCCCCGCUUCCCACAGAGACCAGGCCAAACGCUUCAUGACCUGCAGUUGUAUCCUCCAAAGCUGAACCCUUAGCUUGGAAAACUCAGGAUUUUCACAAGCAGGUCAGCAGCAGAAAAAGACAAGAGAGGUGAUGGAUGAGUGGAUGGGACCCGUUGGGUCACCAGUUCCCCCAGUCCUGGGUUGCAGGUUACAGGUACUUUGUCCAAAAUAGCUCAUGGGAGCCUUGUUUUCCAGCCCCGCUCUGGAGCUGAGCACCAGGCAGUGCAGAGCCGGUGCCAGCAUCUGUCGAGGGAGGACAGGAUGAUCCCCAAGCUGUCGGAGAUGCUGAGAUCUUCACCCAGGGAAAGUGUCUUUCAAUUAGUGUCUUGCAGAACCUAAACCAGCAGCGCUGAAAGGCUGCUGCUUCCCACCGGCAUUCACAUGCAGAGCAGCACUCCCGUUAUUGCCAUCCGCAGCACCAGGCUGUCACCCCUGUCUUUAAUUCCUAAUUAUGUUUUCAUUAUAUUUACAGCAUUAAAUUUUUUUAGUGAUUACUGGCCAGAGCUGAUUUGCACAGGCACUUGGAUGAAUUAUUUUAUCAGAAAUCAACACGCGCUGCCAGAGCGCUUGCUCAUGCCUGUAUUUUUCUCAAAGAAAGGAGUAGAAGCGACUAAUUGUUUUCAAUCCAUCAGCCUUGGAAACUGUUGCUUUGUGCAGAAGAUGACAGCAGUGCCUGGCCAAUAGACCCGUAACAAGCCGCUCUGGCUGCGGUUUGCCGUGGAGCCUAAAGUGUCGCAGGGACAUGUAAGAGGGACUUGUGCUGGUAGGGUUAGAGUGAUUAUCUGAUGAUACUGAUGUUGUACAGCCCUGGGUGACCAUAAAAACCAUAAAAACAAAUCAACCCUGCUUUUGGAUCAACAGACUCUUUCCAGCAUCAGCUACCGAGCACCGUGGUGCAGCGGUCUUGUUCCUUUCGCCCUACAAGCACCUGGGGUUUUUGGAAUAUUCGUAGUGGCUUGGUCAAUUCAUCACCGACACCUUUUUUAUACCAGAGGAAAAGCGUGUUUCCAUCAGGACUAAAAAGGAGACGAUUUCCAGUGAAGCAGAGCAGUUAAAGCUCGCCUUGUCUAUCUUCACGUGCUCUAUCACCUGCUGGUAGCCUGCUGCUACACAGCAGGGAGGAUAACAGCAUUUCCCCAAGGGAUUUUCAUUAUUUGUGCAGAUACAAGUAUAUAAGCAGCUACAUCAGAGGUGGAGGGUGGAGACAGAGAGGGGUUUAACUGACAAUAAUUUCACCUUUUGUUUCACAUUCAGCUUUCAGAACUGUCACGCUGGGAGGAGAAAAGCAAAUCACUGUGAGCCAGAGGAGCGGGAUGCAAACCCGGUGGGAACGCGUGUGGCUGGAGACAGAGCUGGGCUUUGGGGACACGGGACAAACUGUCCCCCAUCCCCAGGCUUGGGAAUACCUUCCUGCACAAGGUGCUUUGGAGUGUGCAGUUAUACAAGAGCUGAAUGUGAAACAAAGAGAUUUUUUAACCAUCAAAGUAAAAAGCCAUAAAGUUGACCCUGGGAGCCCCUCCUGUCCCAUGCCAAGGGGUUCUUCUGGUCCUUUCCUACAAAACCCUCCCUUUGAGGGCUGUGCUGGUGGGACCACAACCUUCAUGCAGGUCCCAUCUGGUGGGGCCAAAAGUGGGACCAUUGCCCACCCAGGCAGCAUCCCACGCCCGCUUCAGGAAAGAGCAGAUCUGCGCUGCGGAGAGGUGGGGCAUGGUGAGCAUUGCCGCCUGCACCCCCGGGAAGGCUUUGCUCUCUUAGGAAGCCCAGGGGAGCUGCGAGGUUUGCAAAACCCCAGUUUGCAGUGAACGCCCCACUGUGGAUCACGAUGCAGCAGCCUGGGAGAGCGGCCACGCUCCUUGGAGUCCCUUGGCAAACCCGCUGGACAAGUCAAUUAGGUUUUCUCCUUUUCUCUCAAUUUGGCUCCUGAGCUGUAUUUGCCAGCUGAUUAGUGUCACUUUCUCUCAGUGCCUGGCAGCUCCGGGGUGUUUUCAGUGCAGCAGCUUCUAGCUGGACGUGCACUCUCCAGGUUUUGCAGGAUGCAAGGCUCGUCUGCGCAGACACUGGUUAACAUAUAACACAGGAUGACGGGAUGGCUCCCCUGUGGGAGGAUGCUCCGCUGGCAGGGAGUUAGUUCCAGCCUAGAAUAAUGUUUCCCAUUAGAAAUGGGAUUAGUUGUGUUAAAAAAAUUCCCUGCUUCUCUGUCGUGGUCGUGUUCCCUGUUCUGGCCCUGCACUGCCCACGCACUUGAACACCAGUAAAUGCAUCUUCCCUCACAGAGGGAUUUUCUUUCUGGUGUUUAUUUACACAACAAAUUGGACUUGCUGUAAUGCUGAACCCAGCACAGGCCUCUGUGCCCCAUCCCUUAUGUAGCUGCUGUAACUCUGACAGCAAAACCUGAUGUGGAUGUUGGGGCAGAGAGCCCAAAGCAGUUGCUCUCCCUGCCAGGUCACAGCUCCCACUGCAGGUCCCUCUCCCUGUCACCCUCACAGCCCUGGGGACAGCCAAGAUCGUUGUCAAAGGCAAGUUUUUGACCAUCUGAAUGCCUCACCCAUGGGUUUAUCCUCCCUGCUUUACCUUCCUGCCAUCCCACACCAACACCAGCACCAGCAGGUCCUUUUCCCACAGGGGCUGCAUGCCCGGCUGGUUUAGUGUUUGCAUGGGCAUCCCGCAGCGCUCUGCUCCUGUGUUUUCUCUGCAGAGCUCGGGAUUCGGUCUGUCCUUUCCAACCCUCGCGCUGCCGGCACGGCUGCUCUUUGCUCUCACGUCAGCUCAUCUGCUUCUUUCUGGCUUGCAGAUUUGGGCAGCUGGAGCUCUGCCCCGAUGUUGUGCAGAGACCCCGCUCUGCUAUGGAGCCGAGCUGUGUGCUGGGUGCACACACAGCCCUGCGCCGGAUCGGGGACCAGAGCCCUGGUUUGGAUUGGCAGCCUGGGUCCCCGAGCGGGGGACACCGUGGUCCUGAGCCCCGGGCAGACCCUCGCGCCCUGGGGCUCUGCCAGCCGCCAAGUCUCCUCUUCCCAUCAGUGAAAGAAUUACCCUGCCCCAGAGUCAGCUUGUUAUUUUUUUUGGCGUUGCUUUUUGGCUUCCAGGAUUGGACUACAGGUUUUCUUUGUUCUGUGUUGUUUUUUUCACCUUCCACCUUCUUGGAUAGCUAAAAAUAACACAUUUCCUUCUCAUUAGCAGCCAGCAGCUCUACCUCCAUUGUUCUUAGAGGUCUGCCUGCAUAUCUCUGUUGGUUUCAUAAACUUCGGUGUCGGAGUUGAGUGCUGUUUUUUCUCUCCCUAAUUGUAAGGCAACAAGAAGCCACAGCUCUGCCAAAAGGUUUUAUUAAAGAAUAAAAACAGCCAGCAAGCAAUCUACACGAGCCAAUAAAAUGGCACCCCAUAUCCCCAAGCUAGCAAGCGCAUGGAAUGACUCUUAAACUGAUAUUUUAUUUGGAAAAGAAAUCAACCUUGACCCACUGCAGUCUAUAAAAUUAAUCAGGCACGAUAUGCCCCAUGCAGAUUUGCAGUCCUUACAAUGCAGGAGCCGAAGGAAUGUCAUCACAGGAGGCACUUAAACCCCCCAUAACACAUCAGUGUGACGCAUCCCGCAACACGUCAAACCCACAAAACAGCGAAGGCACUAGUGACAGAUUACUCUUUACCAUCCCCACGUGUGGCACGGCCGGGGAGUGCUCGACAUCUUUAAUCUUCUGUGUGUCCCAUGGGCUGGUGUCCAUUCUGCAAAAGGGUUUGUGUCCAAGUGGCUCUUCCUGUGAUGCUCAAGGACAAGUUCAAAGUUUGUGGGUAUCUCCAGUAUGCACAUCAGCCUAAACGGCCCUUUGGGAGAUGGCACGAUGAGCUGUGAUUUUUCGGAUAUAUUGCUCUGCAGCAAUCUCUCAUUUAAAUAUUUUAACCAAACCGGCUGGCAAAUGUGAUUCUGCUCCCCGACGGAUAACAGAGCACAUGCAGACAGCGUUCGCAUCUCCAAGUGCUGCCAUUGAUGAUGGUGCCACUGUUUGUGUGAACGCUGCGCACAUGAUUUAAUUGUUUCAAUACAGGCAGUUUAUAGGGCUUGCUUGAGUGGAACAAGAUGAGAGUUGCCAACAUAAGAAAUGACUUGGGAUAUCAGUCUGGGCAUAUCUGUGGACAAAAACAAAGGAUGGCAAUAACUGUCAGCAUUAAAUCAUUUGGCUGUUUCCCUGUCACAAAAUUACUCUUCACAAUACAUUUCCUAACAUGCUGCUGAAUCUUGUUUUGACAGUAACACACCUCCCAGGCUUUCAUUUAUUGUUUUCCACGAGUGGAUUUCCAAGGUCUUUAUCAGUCUUACUAAACUGCAGAUGGGGAAACUGAGUCAUGGGGACAGGUUCUAAUUCAAUUAAAGGCACGCAGUGACAAACGGGAGCAGAGCCCCCUCCCAGACACUCGGCCUGCCGUGUGUCCUGCCUGCUGAGCGGCUCCCCACGGUCCUGGGCAGGACCGUGUCCACACGGGGGUCGCUGCCUCCAGACAGCAGCACGGGUGGGAUGAGAAGGGCUGAGCAGCCUCUGGGAAGGACAUGAGGGGGCUGUGGGAAGGGGACAUGCUGGGGAGCAUUGGGGCUGGUACGUGUCCUUGCAUUGGGAAAGGAGGGACAGUAAUGAAAAUAAUUGAGCAGGAAGUUUAAGUUAAUGAGCAGUUAAUUCCUUCUGCAUAAUUAGAAUCUCUAUAGCCUCAUUUGCAUUAUUUUGCAUAUCUGCAGAUAAUAAUCUGCCAUCAGGAAAAGGGAAGGUAUGGCAGGGCUGCAUGGGCUGUUCGCUUCAGAGUGGAUGGUCCCACGGGCGGCUUUGGGAGAACUGCAGGGCACGUGCCCUUUCCCUCUCCCCCAGGCUCUGGGUCCCGUUUCCUGCUCUCGGCUUCUUACUCCAGCAUUGCUGCCUCUGCUUUUCAAUUAAGAAACUCUUGUGAAUCCUCAUGGUUAAUUUAGGUUGUUGGCUUGCCCUCUCAUGUUAAUUAGGAGACGGGCAGCAUGCAGGCAUACAUGCCGUACAUAGGUCUGAGCAUCAGACCCACACUGCUCACCUUUGCAAGAAGCUAUUCUGCACAGAGGUUGGGUCUCAUAUCCAAAACCAUGACAUCUCUACCCCCUAUGGACACCAUUUGUUGGACACAGUCUGACCUGCGACUCCACUCAACCCUCACGCUCCAGCCAAGCUCUGUCAGCCCCAGCACUGCCUGAAGACCCCCAGGUGCCUUCAUCCACCAUUGACCGAAAGAGCAUAAGGGUGACCCAGCUCCACGGCCCAAUGUGACUGUAAGUUCCUGUUGACACCAUGGGCAAACCAGAGCUUUCCUUUCUCUGCCAUGUUGGGCAGUCUGGUGAAUACAGAGAUUCCUUGUGAUCUUAAACCCAACGUGUCUGCCUCUGCAUGGCCUUGCGCUGAUGUUGUGCUCAGUUUUAGCACAGGGAUGGGUAAACAGCCUGCAUUGCAACCUUGGUUAGACCUUCUUUGCCAUUCCCAGCCCAUCAUCUGUCUUGUUUACUCAGAUUGUGGGUUCUCAGAGGCAGGGACCAUUACUUAUGUGUGUACUAUACUUAGCGCAAGGGGUUUCAGGCUUGGCUGGGUUCUCUAAUAGCAAUGAAUAUUCAAUUUAAAAACCCCCAAACUACUUGAUUAAAAGAAAUCUAUUUAGACUGCAAAGGCAAAGUACUGCCAAUUUAAUAGUUAUCCCUCCAACCUUCAAUCUGCCUCUAAAACUUUUCCAAAUGAAUAAAAUUAGAAGAUGUACCACGUUUUCACCUCAACUAACUCCUACUACAAGUUAAAAAGACAAGGGGCAUGGCUUGUGGCAGGAGCUCCUCCGCUGGGAUGUGAAGUGUCCUGGAAGGAUGGAGAGGUUAACGUUUCUCCAAAGGCUGCAGGAAACAUCUACAAUAGUCAUUGUCAGGCAGAGCAGUGCAAAGGUUCCUCAUGAGUUUCCUUCCAAAAAAUAAAGCGCUUCUUUCUCAUCUCUGCAGAAAUUAGCAAAAUUUGGAGACAUUUCUGGUAUUUCCACCCCUUCCUGAUGAGGUUAAACAGGUUUUAGACUCUCCUUAAAUCUCCUGUCAGUUCCCCAGGAACCAGUGGCGGAGAACUGGGAUGUGUCACUGUUACACCCACUGCAUGUUUGUAGCCCCCAGCCCAACUACAGGCACAUCCAAUGCACAUUCUACCUCAGUUCGUGGACUUCUCUGGAGCUCCUGGAGGUCCUGAACACAGAUCCCAGCCCCCUCACACGCCUGUGGAAAACCCUGCCCCUAAAGUUCCUAGGAACCUACUUUCUGUCUAAGCCUGUAUUUACUUUUCCAUAUGAAACCCAGAGCAUUAAAUAAGUUUUAUAGAGUGUCCUGAUAGCAGAACAGACUGGUAUCUCCCUUUUGUGACUCAACAUAAGCUGUCUUUAGUCAUUAAACACAACCAACAGCAUGAACAUUUCAUGAGCAGAUAGUUAAAUUUUAAUUUCCCCAUUGAAUUCAUUAAGGUGUGAUCAUGCAUCUGAAUCGAAUUUAGCAACCUGGCAAGGAACCAAAUUAAACAUGACAUAGUGACAGGGUUUCCUUUUCAUUGUACUUGAUCACCCUCCUCUACCCUUGCCCUAUUAAAAUAAGUGUUGUUUCUUUCCCUCUUGAACAUUUCUUAAUCAAAGUCUUUGCUGAAAUGAAGGAAGACCAUCCUGCCUUAAGCACCAGUCGGAGACAUACGCAGUGCACUAAAGAGAGGUCUGACAGAAUUUAUUGUUAAUGUUGGUUGAUGGAGUAAUUGCAACAGAGGCAAAAAACCCAGGUGUUUCGCAGAGAAACGUGGUGGUCUCUGUUAUAAUGCUCAGUUUAUUAUAUCAAAUAGAUUGCAUGCAGGCGGAGUUUGCAGCAUAUGUGCUUUCUGUACUGCCAGCCUCCCUUCAGUCCUUCCAUCUCCCCAUUCACGAUUCCUGGUAGGAGAGGAAGGGUUUUCUGAGUGCAGGAGGCUGCUGGUGCAGAGGAGCAGAAAUCCAAGGCUCAGCAAGGUGGAUCCUCUCCCUUCUUUGUUGUCUGCUUUCAUUCUUUGGGAACAGGAGUGAGCAAAAACAACUAACUCUGGGGAACACACACGGCUUUACUCAGAAGAAACACUAAUAAGACAACACAUCAAGGAGGAACCAGGAGACCCUGUAUGCAGUUUCCUCAACGCAUCACCCCAUCCCAGGUCUCUUCUCUCCCAUCUCUUUCUUGGAGAGGUUGGCCCUUUUCUAACAUGUUGCUGGGUUUGGAGGAGUUAAGUUCUGCCCCACUUCUCCCGUGUCUCUCGGUCCCAGGUCUUCAGGUCCUCCUUACCCAGGGGACAGGCCAAGGGCUCCUGGUGCUUGGUGGUGUGGUAGGAGAAGGAGCAACGUGGCCCUUCCACUCAGCUCCGGGAGAUUCCCUGCACCCUGCGUUUGCCUGCAAAGAGGUUGCUCAUCAUGGGGACAAGGGCAGGUCCCAUACCCUCAUGGGAGAUCCUCACAGAAUAUUCCAGAUGAGACUUUCACUCUGUGCCCAGACACUGUUAUAAUUGUGGGCAAGAAUUGGGGAAAAUCACUCAUUACCAGGCUGCCAUCUGCAUUUCUGAGCGUGGUGUGUGGUCUAUGCAAGACGCUGGUAACGAGCCAAAAUGUGCUUUUGAGACGUCUGUGUACCUGAUGUCUCAUAUAAUAUUUAGUGUGGGCAACUUAGCAACCCAUGAUAAAACAACCAUCCAGCUGGGUGGGUGGCAGUCACAGCAGCAAGCCAGCUAGAAACAAAGUGGGAACUGCUUUUAAAACACUUCCUGCUCGGUCCAAGAAGAGUCAUCACGAGCACUGGAGCUGCUGAUGAGACAGGGUAUGAGUACGAGCCUCUCAUACCAUACCCUGUGUGGGUCCACACAGGGCAGACAAGGACGGUUAUAUCCGCGUAUGAACCAAACCUCCAAGGAGAUGCAGCUGGGGUCUGGUGGAGGAGGGAAGCUUUUGGAGAUGAGGAUAGUAGCAGGAAGAUGGAUUGUUGCUGUGAGAGCUUAUUGCCAGCUCUGAGAUCGGAGUCAUAUCUGGGGAGGUAUAUGCUUGUUAAACCUCAGCUCCAUUUCUGGUUUGUAUUUGUUUUACUUCUCACCUUUUGCUUCCAAUCUUGUACCUACAAAUCUGACCUUAAAUCUUAGAAGACUGCUCUCUCCUCGGUGUUGCUGUGAAGUGUGGCGGGUAUUUAGGGCACAGUGAAAUACAGGGAUGAACUGAGAAUGCCUGGAAACGGCAGAUCUUAACCGCGUCUGGGCAGCUUGGGGAAGUCCUGCUAUCCUGCCAAAUGCACAGGGGGAAAAUCUGUUGCUACACGUUAGUUUUUGGGCAGGAAUUUCUCUAAUUCCCACUCCGAGCCCGCUCCCAGCAAAGAGAACGGAGGGGUGCUCCACGGCCCUGAGCGGAGCCUUCGUCUCAGCUCUGCUGGAAAACGGACAGGCUAAUUUCCAGGGGCAGUUGGGAAUGGUAUUUCACAUAACCAGCCGGUGCUCUGAGUGCUGACACAAUGUUCUCCGAAAAUGACCACAAUUUGUCUCGGUGGCUAAUCAGCCCCGCUGUUACAGAAGUGUGCCGCCUCUCUCAUUUACAUGUGUCUGGCUCUAACUUUCAGCCAUUAGGUCUUCGUUCUGUCGUUCCCUGUGAGAUUAAAGAGCCCUUUAGUCCUCGAUACUUUUCCCUGCAAUGGUUCUUACGCACUAUAAUCAAGUUACCUCUUGAUCUUCCUCAGAUGAGCUGAAAACACCGAGCGUGCUGUCUCUGGGAGACAGUUCUGCCAUUUCCAACAGUAUUUGGGAGGACUUGACUGCCUGUGCCCCUUCCCCUCUAAUUUUUAAUAACCUUUCCGAAAUGUCAGUGCAGAAACUGAGGACUAUCUUCCAGCCAUGAGCACACGGAAAGUCAGCUCCCAGCUCCCACUCAUUAAUUCCCCUUCUACUAUUUCCCAGCGUCACGCAAACCCAUUUUCAACGCUGCCACCACGGGGCUCCCGCCCCGCUGCCCACCAGCGAUGUUCACUCCCACGGCCCUGCUGCAAGCUGUGCUUCCACAAAUAGUUUCUGGUUUGGAGGUCUGACCUUCAUUCGCUCUUUCUUCAAUAACUGACCUUGAAUUUGUUGUUAUUCAAAUUACGCAUUGUUUGAAUGGAUCUGAUUUAUUAAGGAAAUCAGGUGACCCGCACUGCACUAUCCUCGCUGUUGUUAAUUGCUCUGCCAAUCUUUGUGACAUCUGUAAUUACCAGCGGUGAUUUCCUUCCAGAUCAUUGCUAAAAAUAUUGAAUAACUUGGCCUGGAAGUGGUCUUGGCAGAACCCACUUUAACGUCCCUGUUCAGCAAUGUGUCCCACCGCUAACCGCCUUUUGAAAGCUGUCAGCUAACCCAACCUCAGCCAUUUCACAUGCACUCUGCUAAUUUGGCACAGAGUUCAUUAUAAAUAUAUCAGAAUGUUGUGCAACGGGAUACCCAAAGCUUAGCAGAAAUCAAUUUUUCUUUUUACAAGACUGAUUUCUGGGCAAGACAAAGGAAAAGAAGAAAACAGCAAAACUUAAUCCCAUCCUCAUCGUUUGCUCUCCGUCGAGUCCUUGACCAGUCUCUCAUUUAGUCUGCAGGGACCAGCAUAAAGUUAACUGAGCAGUAAACAUCCAAAUUAUAUGGACUAUUUUUGCACACUAACACAGCAGUGGCAUUCAUCCAAUUUCCUGCAGAUAUCCCAGUAAUCCAAGAUUAUGAAAAAUUAGCACAACUGGGCCAGAGCUCACCUUCGCCAAUUAUUUUAGGACUCCUGGGUGAAAACCAUCAUGGUCUGCUGUUUUAAAACUUUCCACACUCAAAAUAGUUACUGUAAGUAGCUGGAAAUUGCUAAAACUAAUAAAUGCCAAAAAAAAGUAGAACUUGAAAUGGUUACCAGUGGUCUGGAAAGUUGUGCUGGAGCCCCAUACACGGCGAGAACAAAGAGCGCUUUCAGCCAGUUUUCAGAGCUGGUCUCUUUGUUGUGCUGCACUGGAGAGGCUGGAGAAGAUUUACAGCAGGAUGCCCUGGCGAUUAAAGGCAAGGAUGCCCACCCGGGAGCAGGGAGACGUGCUGGAAUCGUCCUAAAAGGAAGAGUUGUGGUCGCAGUAAAACAAAAGAUGACUGAACAUGACCUGCAAAAAUGCAGAAAACGUUUUAUGAGGCAUGACUUGCAAAAUAUCACAACCCUAGUUUAUAGCUCAAAGCCAACUGCAUUCCUAAGAGAAAAAAAGUGAACGUGGGUCGGGAAAAUACCACCUGGAGGAUCAUCCCUCUGCAAGGUGGUGUGAGGUGAGCAGACGGGUGUUCUGCCAGAAGCCAUUCCUAAGAGGUUCACUGUGCUCCCCAAAGACAGGGUGCGACAAGGUCAUGCCCACGCUCCUGGGGAUGUUAAAUCAUGAAUCCAAAGUGGAAAUCGGCAGAGAGACUGUGAGCAUUUGCACACCCCAGCACCGGGACCUUCUACCCCUCACAUGGCUCCUCCAGCACCUGGGCAAGGAGGUAGAAGGAGAACCCCACAGCCAUCAGUUCUUCGACACCUCCUUCACCUUCCCACCAUAAUUAUUCUCCUUCCAAAACCAUUUCCUGAAUUCCAGUUUACUUAAAAAUCCCCUUCUGCCAAGAGCGGUCUCAGUUGAAGCUGCCCCCUUUUGCACAGUUCGAGGUUCAUUUAUCCUGUGAUGUAAUUGAUGAUGUUUCAUCGAAGGCGAUGAAGACACCUGAGGCCACGUGCAGCAUUGCUGCAGUCUCAGAGCUCGGAUAAAUGUGUUAUCCCCAAUUAACAGGCAGAGAUUUGGGCCCAGGGUGAGCACCCCCGUGUUUGACACACCAGCGUUCCAAGCACGGAGCCCAAACCCCUGGGAGCUGUGUCCGUCACACUCUUUAAUAGGUGGCCAAACCCACAACAAGUCGCUGUGAACGAGAGGCCAUCCGCACAAAACCUGACAUUAACAGCAGCAGAAGAAAAGGCUUGAAUUGUCCUCCUGUGAAAUGUUAAGCUUAAGUACUAUUCCCCUGUCACUGGCUUCUCGUUCUCCUGAUUUUUAAUGCAUCUUUUUUCAUUUCCUUCCUCUUUAUAUUUUCCUGCUCCUCUGGAUGGCCUGAUCUGCUUGUUUGCGAUAGAUUUAUGACUGUUUGUAUUUUGUGUGAUUAAUAAAUUCUGCUGUGAUUUAUGUUUCA